rnacentral:lncRNA from 1 species
AUGCCCAUGUGUGUGUGUGUGUGUGUGUGUGUGUGUGCGCUCAUAGGCCAGGCCAGUCCCUUCCUCCUGCUGACUCUGCAUGCCCCUCUGGAGGGGGUGGAAGGGGCUCUACUUCGCUCCAUCCUCGACAUCAUCUGUCUCAACAACGUCGACGCUGCAUGUCUCUGGGGGAACGCUCCCAUCAACGAGGCGCUGGACCUCCACAGUCCCCUCCUGUCAUUGGAUGACAGUCUGGCGCUGAUCGGUAGAACCGGACUAGACCACCAGCUGCUCUCCCUACUGGGACAGAACAAUGCCGAGCCUGUCACAGAACCCGACCAAGACAGAGACACACCUGGGCCAAAUCUGGACACUGUGGAGGGAGAGUCACAGACACCACCGGAGACAGAGGUACAGGCAGAGCAACAGACAGAGGAGGAGGAGCAGAGGGAGGCAGAGAGCGUACCCCUCGCUGAGGAGAGUCCAGUCCAGCCCAGACCCGUGUACACAGUGUGUCACAGCAGAACCAGAGGCUCCUACUCUGUGUUCCUGGGCCCGAAGCCAGGCUCCAACUGGACCCGAUACAAGCACCAGGGCCCCACACGCAGGCAAGCUACACAACUCCCAUGAUUUGUUGAUUCUUUGAAACAGGUGUGUUUCAAGCAGGGCUUGAACAAAAGCCUGCACACCAUAUUGGUCUACAGGACCAGAGAUAGAGACCCUUGCUGUAGAGUAGUGGUUCCCAAACUGUGUGGUCGGCAGGGCAGGCGCAGAAAAUAAUAAAAUAAUAAUAA